GCGCGACCGGGAGCGAACGCGGAAACCGAGAGCCUGACGGGGAGCGAACGCGGAAACCGAGAGCCUGACGGGGAGCGAACGCGGAAACCGAGAGCCUGACGGGGAGCGAACGCGGAAACCGAGAGCGCGACGGGGAGCGAACGCGGAAACCGAGACCUUCAGCCUCUGACUGGUGGACAUUCAGCUGCUAUGAUUGGCUGAGACUCAGCUGCUUAUUACAAACCCAUCCAUCCUCUUAGGUUAGUAUACAAUUUGUUUACACAUUAACUUUUUAUUAAUUUGAAC
rnacentral:lncRNA from 10 species